UACGGAGGGUGCAAGCGUUAUCCGGAUUCACUGGGUUUAAAGGGUGCGUAGGCGGGUAUAUAAGUCAGUGGUGAAAGCUCCGGGCUUAACUUGGAAACUGCCAUUGAUACUGUAUAUCUUGAAUGUCGUAGAGGUUAGCGGAAUGUUGCAUGUAGCGGUGAAAUGCUUAGAUAUGUUACAGAACACCAAUUGCGAAGGCAGCUAACUAUGCGAUGAUUGACGCUGAGGCACGAAAGCAUGGGGAGCAAACAGG
rnacentral:rRNA from 1 species